GGUGGCUCAGUGGUAGAGCGCUUGCCUAGCAUGCAUGAGGCCCUGAGUUUGAUUCCUCAGCACCA
rnacentral:tRNA from 1 species